CUGCUCGCUUUGGCAGCACAUACACUAAAAUUGGAACAAUACAGAGAAGAUUAGCAUGGCCUCUGUGCAAGGGUGACACACAAAUUCGUGAAGUGUUCCAUAUUUUU
ensembl:snRNA U6 U6 spliceosomal RNA